rnacentral:pre_miRNA from 14 species
UGGUGGCAGCUUGGUGGUCGUAUGUGUGGUGCCAUUCACUUGAACCUUUAGGGGUGACAUCACAUAUACGGUGGCUAAACUGCUACAAGGGA